AUUGAACGCUGGCGGCAGGCUUAACACAUGCAAGUCGAGCGGGGGAGGUUGCUUCGGUAACUGACCUAGCGGCGGACGGGUGAGUAAUACUUAGGAAUCUGCCUAUUAAUGGGGGACAACAUCUCGAAAGGGAUGCUAAUACCGCAUACGCCUACGGGGAAGCAGGGGAUCACUUGUGACCUUGCGUUAAUAGAUGAGCCUAAGUCGGAUUAGCUAGUUGGUGGGUAAAGGCCUACCAAGGCGACGAUCUGUAGCGGGUCUGAGAGGAUGAUCCGCACACUGGGACUGAGACACGGCCCAGACUCCUACGGGAGGCAGCAGUGGGAAUAUUGGACAAUGGGGGGGAACCCUGAUCCAGCCAUGCCGCGUGUG
rnacentral:rRNA from 1 species